rnacentral:rRNA from 1 species
AAGAUGGCGACCGGCGCACGGGUGAGUAACACGUAUCCAACCUGCCGAUAACUCUGGAAUAGCCUUUCGAAGGAAAGAUUAAUACCGGAUGGCAUACGAAUAUCGCAUGAUAUUUUUAUUAAAGAAUUUCGGUUAUCGAUGGGGAUGCGUUCCAUUAGUUUGUUGGCGGGGUAACGGCCCACCAAGACAACGAUGGAUAGGGGUUCUGAGAGGAAGGUCCCCCACAUUGGAACUGAGACACGGUCCAA